rnacentral:sRNA from 1 species
GGCAGGACCUGGGAGCUCUGUGGCUCUGUAGCUCUGGUUGACAGCUGAAAUUGAGAUUAAUUGUGCUAAAUUAAUUUGCCUGCAUCAGCUGUAGCCUGGAACGCCGAUCUCCCCACCCAGAGGGUCCUACAAAUUGUCUUGGGUCUGGGUCUUGGAUCUUGGAUCUUGUAUCUUGGAACUUGGAAGUUCUCGGUGAAAAUUACAGGUGUGUGUUGUUGUGGCUGCGCUGCGGUUUGGGCGGUGCGAAAGGUGUGAAGCCGAAUGGCAAUGGAAGGGAAUGGAAUGGAGAUCCCAGGGAAACCAUCAGAUGGCUGCUUCUGCAAUUGGUCCACGCCCAGUCGGAGCUGCUGCGGCUGCUGAUGACUGAUGAUAGAGUUGAUUGAAAGUUAACAGGUUGAAAAGGGAUUGCACUUAAAUGUGCUGCAGAAAUGCCUUCAGAUAUCCGGUAUUCAAAGAAGCAUUCACGAAACCAUUUAAAAAGGGUCCCUUAGAGGCAGAUGGCAGAGACCUAAACCAGGCAGUGGAUGAUGAAAAUAUUCCAAGACUCCGAACUCCGAACCAGGAACUGCAUUCCGAAAAACACCCACUAGGAAAAGAAAAAACCCAAGGGUGACACAUCACAAUCAGAGCACUCCACAAUCCGCAGAGAGGGAGGCGGAAUGUUGCAACCGAAUGGCAAGGCGUUGCCCGGCAGUCAGCUAAAGUUGCAGCUUGUUGCAGGAAGUGUCACGGGGGCAGCAACAACGGCAACAACAGCAGCAGCAGCAGAAACAGCAUCCGUAGCAGA